GUCCACAGAUUGUUCAUCGCCAAAUUUAACGGAUUCUUAUCAGAAAUGCUUUUUUUAAUGUGAUUUGUUUAUGUUAUAAAAGAAAAACAUUGAGCAUAUCAGCUAAUAUCUGACAUUGUUAUCAGAUAUUUAUCAAUAAAAGUAUCAGGCUCAGUAAUUCAGUAUUGGAUCGUCACAUGAAGAUUAGACACCAUGAAAACACAUAAAGAAAGUGUACCUUAGAAUAAAAUCUGCUUGUAUUUCAACAUCCCCUCUCCACUCAAGUAAAUCUACAACUUCUCAGAGCUGAACGUUUCUAAAUAAACUGUAAAAUGAGAGGAAAGAAUCUCCACAAAUGAAUACAAAAUGUUGCUUCUCUGUGAGUUUAUUUCUCUGGUGAUAAGAAUUGUGAUAACUAAGUGAUGAAGGAAAUUUCUAAAUGUGUGAAAUUCGUCACUCCAGAAUAACAAAAAUAAAUGUCUCAAGAUGCAGCCAUGGUUGUGAGUAUACAUAUUCCAUUAUCUCACAGAUAAGAGCAGGUAUAGAAUUCAAAAGUGAUAAAUAAAUACAACUUUUCUGCCUCCUGUAGAUACUCAGGCCAAAGAUGUCUGAACUCACACUGAAGGUUUCAAAGCCUGCUAGGUGAAAGUAAUUAAGCCUAAUUAAGCAAAGCUGUCUUAAAUUGGUGUUCAUUAUAACAUCCUUUUCACUCCUCACACACUCUUUGUUUUUGACAGAACUGACACAGCAAAAUGAAGGCUCCUGUCCGAUCAACGCGCAGGCUUGCUCCACAAACAAAGAAAAGGAUUCGAGCCCACACCAUGCUUAUCUACAGAGCACAUAAAGAGGUCCGUCCGGCUGCGAUGACGAGUCCAGACUUCCUGACCAGUCGGCUCAGUUUUCCCAAACCAGUCCUGCUCAGACUGGUGAGCUUGGAGGCUUCCCGGCUGUCAAAAACCAACAGACUUAAAGUGAUCACUCUGCAGGAGAUCAGUGCUGCUGUCACACUUGUACAACACAGGAUUCGUACGAGAGCUGCAGCAUGAAGAGUUGGAACAUAUCAUUGUAUUAACUUUUAUCAUUAAAGAGUUUUAAUUUUUAAUCUGUUGCCUUUUUUUAAUGCACGUUUUGCAUGCUAAAUCAGUAAAUUCAAAAUAAUUAAGUACUCAAACCCAAGCAGUAGUUUUAUAUAUGGAAGAUUAUUAAUGACAAACUGAACAAAUACAAGUUGUACAAUUUAAAAUGUCAAGAUUUAACAGGGUUUAUGGGCAGAUUUUGUUCAAAGUUUUGGUUGUGAAUUCCUGAUCUGGAAUAAUUUAGUUUAGUCUGGUUGCAUUUCUUUGGUAAACAUGCUUCAGUGGACAUGCCUUAUCCGGCUAUCAUUUUCAGUCUUUUAGAUAACAAAUUGAGGUAGCAAGUGAGCUCUCUUUUCCAGUUGAAAUCCAGUGACCUCUGCUCUCAUUUUGGAGUCUGCAUUAAAAACGUACAAAAAAAAAGAAAAGGGGGAGUGUUUUAAUAAGAGUGGAGGUAGCCCUCCUGUUUGCUUUUAAAUGUAAACUGGCAUCCUCCUCGUUUCGCUACAUGUACGGGCACAACAGUGAUUUGCACGAGUGAAAUGAGUCCUGGGGAAUAUUUCAGAGAUAAAGAGAGACUGCACUGUUUUCUGUGCUGUAAAUCCACCUGGUGAUGCCUCCGCCUGCUCUGCGCGCGCUCGUCUCCUCCUUCAGCAGCAGCUCGCGCAGCGUCCACAGCUUCGCUAGGAACACUUUUACUGCUAAUAAUAUCGUUUAAACUCAAACCAUGUCUUAACAGUCAUUUAGAAGACGUGUUGCACAACAUUUUGGCCAAAGUUUCGACGUAAGUUUUUUUUUUAAAUUGUAUUUAUUUAUUUGUGCAUCACAUGGAUUGUUUCUCCAUGAUUUCCGCAUCGCACGGAUACAAAC
rnacentral:lncRNA from 1 species